rnacentral:rRNA from 1 species
GAUAAGGGGACUCCGAGUGCGAAGGGCAUACAGUCCUCGCUAUUGUGUACCGUAGGGUGGUACACGAACCAAGAGCUGGGCAAGACCGGUGCCAGCCGCCGCGGUAAUACCGGCAGCUCGAGUGAUGGCCGAUUUUAUUGGGCCUAAAGCGUCCGUAGCUGGCCCCUGCAAGUCCGUCGGGAAAUCCACUCGCCUAACGAGUGGGCGUCCGGCGGAAACUACAGGGCUUGGGACCGGAAGACUUGAGGGGUACGUCUGGGGUAGGAGUGAAAUCCUGUAAUCCUGGACGGACCGCCGAUAGCGAAAGCACCUCAAGACGACGGAUCCGACAGUGAGGGACGAAAGCUAGGGUCUCGAACCGGAUUAGAUACCCGGGUAGUCCUAGCUGUAAACGAUGUUCGCUAGAUGUGGCACAGGCUACGUGCCUGUGCUGUGUCGUAGGAAGCCGAGAAGCGAAC